ACCCGAGCUCGUCGGAUCUAGUGACGGAGCUCGAGCUCGCCUGGAUCCGGCCAGCCGCGAGCUCCAUCGCCAGAUCCGGCAAGCUUGAGA
rnacentral:pre_miRNA from 1 species